CAGGGAGACAACAAAAUGUUUAAUAUUAUUAUUUUGUCACCUUAGGUCGAUCGGUAUCUCACAUUCUUAAUUUAUUAAGGAUUUUAUUUCCUAAGUUCUUUCUAGGUCACACCCAUUACUUUUCCUGGGCCAUUAGCUCAGGUGGUUAGAGCGCACCCCUGAUAAGGGUGAGGUCCCUGGUUCAAGUCCAGGAUGGCCCAUAUCUCUAUGCUGGGGGUAUAGCUCAGUUGGUAGAGCGCCUGCUUUGCAAGCAGGAUGUCAGCGGUUCGAGUCCGCUUACCUCCACUGAUUACCACCUCUUCCAUAAUUAUUUAAGGAAAUGUUUUGAGUAGUGAUCAAAUUCUGAGCGAAUCUAGCUUCCUAAUGAAUUCAUUAAGAUGCUGGACUCAUUGAAUUAUUUUCAUUGUUUUCAGAGAACCUUGACAACUGCAUAGAUUAUUUUUAAAGACAAUAAGCAUCUUUAUGAUGCAGAUUUAUUAUUUGUGCGAAUGCAUUAAUAACAAUUCUAUUAAGCUGAUGCUUCAAUUAUGAAGUUAUU
rnacentral:tRNA from 1 species